rnacentral:rRNA from 1 species
UUUAAGCUUCCUACGGGAGGCUGCAGUGGGGAAUCUUGCGCAAUGGGCGAAAGCCUGACGCAGCCAUGCCGCGUGAAUGAUGAAGGUCUUAGGAUUGUAAAAUUCUUUCACCGGGGACGAUAAUGACGGUACCCGGAGAAGAAGCCCCGGCUAACUUCGUGCCAGCAGCCGCGGUAAUACGAAGGGGGCUAGCGUUGCUCGGAAUUACUGGGCGUAAAGGGAGCGUAGGCGGACAUUUAAGUCAGGGGUGAAAUCCCGGGGCUCAACCUCGGAAUUGCCUUUGAUACUGGGUGUCUUGAGUAUGAGAGAGGUGUGUGGAACUCCGAGUGUAGAGGUGAAAUUCGUAGAUAUUCGGAAGAACACCAGUGGCGAAGGCGACACACUGGCUCAUUACUGACGCUGAGGCUCGAGGGGCGUGGGGAGCAAACAGGAUUAGAUACCCUUGUAGUCGAAUUCUU